rnacentral:rRNA from 1 species
AUCUAAGCAUGAAGCCCCCCUCAAGAUGAGAUUUCCCAACUUCGGUUAUAAGAUCCCUCAAAGAUGAUGAGGUUAAUAGGUUCGAGGUGGAAGCAUAGCGAUAUGUGGAGCUGACGAAUACUAAUCGAUCGAAGACUUAAUCAAUUUUAAU